rnacentral:rRNA from 1 species
UACGUAGGGCGCAAGCGUUGUCCGGAAUUAUUGGGCGUAAAGAGCUCGUAGGCGGUUUGUCGCGUCUGCUGUGAAAACCUAAGGCUCAACCUUGGGCUUGCAGUGGGUACGGGCAGACUAGAGUGCGGUAGGGGUGACUGGAAUUCCUGGUGUAGCGGUGGAAUGCGCAGAUAUCAGGAGGAACACCGGUGGCGAAGGCGGGUCUCUGGGCCGAAAUUGACGCUGAGAAGCGAAAGCGUGGGGAGCAAACAGG